rnacentral:ncRNA from 2 species
CUCUUAUCCAGAGAGGCGGAGGGACUAGGCCCUGAGAUGCCCGGCAACCAGCGUGUUUUACGCAAAGGUGCUAAUUCCUACAGAUUCUAAUUAAGAUCUGAAAGAUAAGGG